GACGGAGGGUGCUAGCGUUGUUCGGAAUGACUGGGCGUAAAGGGCGUGUAGGCUGUUGAUCAAGUCAAGCGUGAAAGCCUCGGGCUUAACCCGAGAACGGCGUUUGAUACUGGUUGACUUGAGGACGAGAGAGGAAAGUGGAAUUCCGAGUGUAGAGGUGAAAUUCGUAGAUAUUCGGAGGAACAUCAGAGGCGAAGGCGACUUUCUGGCUCGUAUCUGACGCUGAGGCGCGAAAGCGUGGGGAGCAAACAGG
rnacentral:rRNA from 1 species